GACGAACGCUGGCGGCGUGCCUAAUACAUGCAAGUCGAACGCAGUGGGGACGGGUGAGUAACACGUGGGUAACCUCCCAUCAGAGGGGAUAACACUUGGAAACAGGUGCUAAACCGAUACUGAUGGAUGGACCCGCGGUGCAUUAGCUAGUUGGUGGGUUAACGGCUCACCAAGGCCACGAUGCAUUGCCGACCUGAGAGGGUGAGAAGCCAAACAAGGACUGAAGCACGGCCCAGACUCCUACAGGAGGCAGCAGUAAGGAAUCUGCGGCAAUGGACGAAAGUCUGACCGAUCAGCGCAACGUGAGUGGAGAAGGUUUUCGGAUCGUAAACCUCUGUUGGUAGAGAAGCGGUAUCUAACCAGAAAGCCACGGCUAACUACGUGCCAGCAACCGCGGUAAUUC
rnacentral:rRNA from 1 species